rnacentral:rRNA from 1 species
CGCUCCUACGGGGGGCAGCAGUGAGGAAUAUUGGUCAAUGGACGGAAGUCUGAACCAGCCAUGCCGCGUGCAGGAAGACGGCUCUAUGAGUUGUAAACUGCUUUUGUACAAGGGUAAACCUGAAUACGUGUAUUCAGCUGAAAGUACUGUACGAAUAAGCAUCGGCUAACUCCGUGCCAGCAGCCGCGGUAAUACGGAGGAUGCGAGCGUUAUCCGGAUUUAUUGGGUUUAAAGGGUGCGUAGGCGGCCUGUUAAGUUAGUGGUUAAAUGUCGGGGCUAAACCCCGGAUUG